GAUAACUUCUCGAAUCGCACGGCUUGCGCCGGCGAUGGUUCAUUCAAAUUUCUGCCCUAUCAACUUUCGACGGCUGGGUCUUGGCCAGCCAUGGUGACAACGGGUAACGGAGGGUUAGGGCUCGACCCCGGAGAAGGAGCCUGAGAAACGGCUACUACAUCCAAGGAAGGCAGCAGGCGCGCAAAUUACCCAAUCCCGACUCGGGGAGGUAGUGACAAUAAAUACUGAUACAGGGCUCUUUUGGGUCUUGUAAUUGGAAUGAGUACAAUUUAAAUCCCUUAACGAGGAACAAUUGGAGGGCAAGUCUGGUGCCAGCAGCCGGGUAAUUCCAGCUCCAAUAGCGUAUAUUACAGUUGUUGCAGUUAAAAAAGCUCGUAAGUUGAACCUUGGGCCUGGCUGGCCGGUCCGCCUCACCGCGUUGGCACUGGUCCGGCCGGGUCUUUCCUCCUGGGGAGCUGCAUGCCCUUCACUGGGGUGUGUCAGGGAACCAGGACUUUACUUUGAAAAAAAUUAGAGUGUCCAAGCAGGCCUAUGCUCGAAUACAUUAGCAUGGAAUAAUAGAAUAGGACGGUGUGGUCUAUAAGAGGGUUCUAGGACCGCGUAAUGAUUAUAGGGAUAGGUCGGGGGGCAUCAAGUAUU
rnacentral:rRNA from 1 species